UCUUUAAUAGCUCAGAGGUAGAGCAUUUAGCUGUUAACUAAAAAGUCCUUGGUUCAAUUCCAAGUUAAAGAU
rnacentral:tRNA from 1 species